CAGCAAAACCAUCAACGCAAAGAAGAAAAAAAAAAACUCACCAAUACUACGUCAUCCAACCGUCUGGCCAAUCAAGGCACGAGAAGAAACGAGUUUUCGUGUCUGAUUGGUCAAUUGCAGUGUCGGCUCAAGAAAGCUGGUUUGAGUUGAUGGCAAGCUAGAGGGAACUAAAGGUGGUUUCCAGUAGAGGGCUGGUCAAGAUGUGUGGUCUGAAUCUUCCCUUACUGUCCUUCUGUCCUGCUGGGAAGAUGAGGUGACCGGCUCCUGCUGCUGCUGCAGGAAGUUCUCUGAGCUGUGUCAAUGGAGCACCAUGUGGUUUUUAAUGAUGAUAGUUGAAAUCCAGAAUAAUCUAAAACUAUAAAACCCAGAUAAUAGUUGUUACAUUUAAUAAUGGAACUAAAAGAGCGGCGCCACAUUUAUUAACGUUGCAACACUACUCUUGUGUUAUUCUAACCCAUCUAAUUAUCAUUUAUGGUUGUGUGUGGUUCUGGUGGGUUGUCUUUUGUUCACCUUUAACAGGGGUCUAACAAUGGUUCGGGCUCAGGUCCUGCAACUUUCUGAUGUGUCACAAGUCCAACACACCUGAAUCACAGGACUGGAUUCCCUCCUCAGGCACUCAGGUACUACAGAGUCCUGGCAAUGACCUAAUUAUUCGAUUCAGCUGUGUCGACAAGGAGAUGCAUCUGAAAGUUUCAGGAUAGCGGCCCUGGAAGACUGGAGUUUGAAAACUGCGACCUGUACGAUGCGUUUGCGCCGUCUUGUGGUGUAAAAAGGUAA